rnacentral:rRNA from 1 species
UACAGAGGGGGCAAGCGUUAUUCGGAAUUAUUGGGCGUAAAGGGCGCGUAGGCGGCUUGGCAAGUGGAUGGUGAAAUACCUCGGCUUAACCGAGGAACUGCCGUCCAAACUGCUUCGCUUGAGACCGGGAGAGGUGAGUGGAAUUCCCAGUGUAGCGGUGAAAUGCGUAGAUAUUGGGAGGAACACCAGUGGCGAAGGCGGCUCACUGGACCGGUACUGACGCUGAUGCGCGAAAGCGUGGGGAGCAAACGGGG